rnacentral:rRNA from 1 species
AUUGAACGCUGGCGGCAUGCCUUACACAUGCAAGUCGAACGGCAGCGCGGGAGCAAUCCUGGCGGCGAGUGGCGAACGGGUGAGUAAUAUAUCGGAACGUGCCCAAGAGUGGGGGAUAGCCCGGCGAAAGCCGGAUUAAUACCGCAUACGCCCUAAGGGGGAAAGGGGGGGACCGCAAGGCCUCACGCUCGUGGAGCGGCCGAUAUCUGAUUAGCUAGUUGGUGGGGUAAGAGCCUACCAAGGCGACGAUCAGUAGCUGGUCUGAGAGGACGACCAGCCACACUGGGACUGAGACACGGCCCAGACUCCUACGGGAGGCAGCAGUGGGGAAUUUUGGACAAUGGGGGCAACCCUGAUCCAGCAAUGCCGCGUGUGUGAAGAAGGCCUUCGGGUUGUAAAGCACUUUUGUCCGGAAAGAAAUCCCCUGGGAUAAUACCCCAGGGGGAUGACGGUACCGGAAGAAUAAGCACCGGCUAACUACGUGCCAGCCGCCGCCGUAACAC